GAGCAUUUUAAUGUGGUAUUUUAAUAGUUAAUUCCUCACAUUUUGCUUAGUUAAUUCCUUAACGAAUCGAUUUUUAACUCAAUUUCUAUUUUCUUAGGUACAUUGGAGUAAAUGAUGGUGAAAUGAGCAUUAGGUCCACACUUACCUAUAAAUGGUGGAGAAAAAUGGAAAUGUACUAAAAUGUCAAUUUUACACAUUUUCCUACUCCGGCUAGGAGAAACCAAGCCAAGCAAGGAAGAAGGAGCGGCCGCCUGACCAAAUGAACUCCAAAUGAGCUGAAACUUUCCAGAUCCAUUCUAGACAUCCUAAGGAUCGUUUCUUAUGAAGAGUGCCAGAGCUAGAAUUGAGUGGAAGGCCUUCAAACAAUCAGCCCAAUUUCCCGCAGAAGCAAAACUGGAAAACUGGACCCGUAAGGAGUCCAGCAGCAUUUUCGGCCCAACCACAUGGAAUAAAAAUCUGAAAUUUUACCAGGGUGAUCUACACUCAUAAUGGAACAUUUUUUAUGAAGAGGUCAUAGUGAAAUUGGGAAUGCUUGUUGGAGAAAUAAUUGAAGGAAUAAAGGGGCAGAAACUGAUCUAAAAACAGCUCAACACCACAUGUUCAAGUUUCCUACCCACAUGAAGAAAGCUAGAUGCUUUUCUCUUUUUCCUUGGAUAUAUUUUUCUGCUCCAAUAGAUCAUCAUCACUUCCAUACUUCUACACCUUCAUGCCUUGCUUUCAUUUCAUCAUUACUCCAUCUUUUCCAUAUUUUACAAACCACUUUCAUUAUUUUUCUUCCAUUUAUCAUUUCACUCUUCUUUUUCUUCCCUAUAUAAACACCUUCUCCUCUCACUCUAAAAAUUCCUUCAUCCAUUUCAUCUUCUUUGUCUCUCCAUUUCCAUUCCAUUUUUCUCUCCAUUCUCUAGUUGCAAAAUUCUGCGUUUUCAAGUAAGAAGAAGAAGAAGAAGAAGAAGCCGGGAAUAUCAUAUCCUCCAUCGUCCACCUUGAAGGCUUGCUUCCAAGAUUCAAGAUUUCAACGUUUCAAGCACUCCAUCUCCAUCUCCAACUCACGGUGUGUACCCUCAAUCCCCGGAAUAGAACGAUCCCUAUUUGCUUAUACUACUAACGAUGUUUUCAGGGUUAAAUUAUGCGCUUGCUUUGAGCGUAUCAAUUUUUGGCGCCGUUGCCGGGGAUUGAAAAAUCAAUUGUUUUUGUUUUUAAUUAGCGUAUAAAUUUUUGGCGCCGUUGCCGGGGAUUGAAAAAUCACUUGUUUUGUUUAUAAUUGUUGUAUAUAAACUGUUUGAUACUUAGUUUAAAUUAACUAGGUUGUUUUUUUUUUUUUUUUUUUUAUUGUUGAAUACGAGUUUAAUUGUGAGUUGUAAAUUAAAGAAGGAAUAGGUGAAGUCGUGUUUAUUAAUAUUGGCCUAAACCCCUUAUUGGUACCUAGUUCAGGUCCCUUAAGGUUGAGGGCGGCCUUUAUUAACAUUCAUUGAACUGUCUAACACACUUAGGACCUUUUACAUCCUAGUAAGAAUAUCCUAUGUGAGAUGGUGUCUAGGAAGGGGAUAACGUUCAUGACGGGUUUUUGAAUCCAGAAGUGCUUAUAAAUGGGCUUAGCUCAUGCCAAAAUGGAUUUUUCCUCUCGUGUUCACCCUCCCCUACCUGGCCAUUUCAGUAAGGUUGCCCAACGGAUGUAGGAGGGACUUUGUGUCUAGACGACUAUACUUGGGCCGCACGUCCACUUGAUUUACCGCUUGGAAUUAGAUUUGAUAUCAAUAAUGUUUAUAACAAAAGAAAUACUUGUGCAUACUCUUUACGUGUAAAUUAUUUUGUUGUUUCACACUUUAUACUUGUAAAAAUACUUUUUACGUUUUAUACUCACUUGUGUACUUAACUUGUGUCUUAUGUACAAAAUACUUGUUAAUUAUACUUGUAGUUUGUAAUUCAUAGUUACUUGUUUAUUUUUUUUGUAUUUCUUUGUUAAUAUUAAGUUACUAACUUUAUUUAAUGUAGGUACCGUCUGGCUGCAAGACGUAAAAUACAAGCGCUGCUUGGGAGGCAACCCAAUUCAGAAUAUAAUCAGAUUUGCUUUCUCUUCCCCUUUUACUCCUCCAUUUUCUUUUUGUUUUAGUAGUUAUUUUCGUAAAUUCCAUCCCUAUAUGCUUACUUAUUUCAUUGCAUGCUUUUAAUUGAUUACAUUGAGGAUAAUGCAAUAUUUAAGUGUGGGGGAAGGGAUUUAUAUUUUUGUCUUUCAUUUUUGAAUCCUAUAAAUAUUUUUGUCUUUCAUUUUGAGUCCUAUAAAUAUUUUUGAGUCCUUUAUUUUAAAAAAAAAAAUAAUAAUAAUAAAAAAUAAAAAUAAAAUAAAAAUAAAAUAAAAAUAAAAUAAAAUGCAUUCAUUCAGUCUUAUUAAAUUCAGCUUUUUUACAAAAAAAAAAAAAAUAAAUAAAAAAAAAUAAUAAAAAAAAAAUAAAAAAAAAUAAAAAAAUAUCUCCCAAAUUGUAUAUUUUGUAUUUCUUAGUUAAUUAUAGUUACUAACUUUCUAAUUUCUAUUCUGUCUGGCUGAAAGACGUUAAACUCAAGCGCUGCUUGGGAGGCAACCCAAUUCAGAAGUAGCUGUGAAGGAGUCUACCUACACAGAUUUGCUUUCUCUUUCCCUAUCUCUUUUUAUUUUUUAAUUUUUUAUCUUUUGUUUUUAUUUUAGGAUUUAUUUUCAUAAAUGUCUUCUAUCUAUGCUUAUUUGUUUCAUUGCAUGCUUAUGAUUGAUUACAUUGAGGACAAUGCAAUAUUUAAGUGUGGGGGAAGGGAUUUAUAUUUGAGUCUUUUAUUUUGAGUCAUAUAUAUUGGAAAAUACAAAAAAAUCGAAAAAUGUCAAAAAUUAAAAAAAUUUCGUUGAUUUUAUUUAUUGAGUCUUAGUCCUUUGUUUUUAUUUUUGAGUCAUAGGAUGCCCUUUUAACUGUCUAGGAUGAGCUUAUAUCUCUGAAAUUAAGGCUAAAAGAGGAUCACAAGAUUGGGAUAAUAUUUGAUGAUAUUCUUUGGUUAAUUAUGAUUUAUGAAAAGCAUAUGAAUGUGUAGUAGAUAUGGUGCAUGCGUAACUUUGGUACAGAAUAUGAACAUGUGGAUGAUAAGUUAUGAUUCAUAAUAACCCUUGUGAGAAUUUGAGCCAUGUGCCCUUUCUUUGUUGAGUGAUUAAUGAAAAAAAAAAAAUGAAUUAUACUCUUAUUUUCUUGGCGAUGAUUCUGUUGAUCUCAUUAUUCUUUCAUCUUGAUUGAUUACAUGCCAUAGAUUAAGUUUAAUGGACUAGAGAAUGCUAGAAUUCGCUCUUGUGCUUGUUGAGACGUUUUGUCAAUACAUGGCCCUGAUUCUGGAAAGGAUAGAGGCACCUAGGAACUAACAUCAUUGCCAAAUAAGCAUGUGUCCCUAUUUGUGCCCGUCGUGGGACCCCCUUAGAUAAACCCCUUUGAGCCUACAUUAAGCCUUUUCUUUCAUCACCCUAAAAAUCCUUAACCCCUGAACCUUAGUAUAGUUAUAAUCCUACCCUUUGUUCUAAAAACUUAGUGGAGCUAUCUUUUGAGACUUACUACAUGAUGGUGACAAGGAUUGAGAAGAGGUGAAAAUUCAAGUGUGGGGGUAGACUUGUCCAUGAAAAAAAAAAAAAAAAAAAUGUAUGUAUUGCCGUGAAAAAAAAAAAAAAAAAAAAAAAAAAGAAUGUUUAUGGAUUUUAGUCCCCCAUACUUGGUGAGUUUGGAGAUUGUUUUGAAUUGAAGGCCCACUAUCGAAAAAUUUGGUCUUUGUCCAAUUCACUAGAAUCAAAGGGAGUUUAGAAUGAAGAUGAAGACAUUAAGCCCUUUUAUAAAGCCUCAUGGGUAUGACGUUAUGCCUUGGUGGAUUUCUAGAAGUCUCUCUACAUCAACAUGAGCUCUGCUAGGUUUUUAGGAUACUUUGUUAAAAUUCCUUACCCUUUCAUUUCUUAAAACCUUGAGCCUUAGCCCCAUUACAACCUUUGAGAAGACCUUCUUGAUCCUUAAGAUGGGACAGCCUUUGAUGUGGAGAUGAGUUACAAGAGUUGAACAUAUGACUUGGGUCCAUUCGUGCAAGUAGUUGAUAUCUUUCAUGAGAUCUUUUAAAAAAAUUAUAUUCACAAAGUGCUUUUUGUUUCUUAUAUAUGUGAGCUAUUUGAUUGCCUCAAAAUAUUUUCUCUCACAUAUAAUUGAGUGAUUAUAAGCUUUUAAGCAUGAGCCUUGAAUCUGAGAGAAGAAAGAGUGAUAUAUCCAUGUGAGGUUUGAAUCAUGACUUGUUUGAAAUAUGUUGAGCUCCACUCACCACCAUUGUUUACUCCCAAGUCUUACAUGCUUAUAUGUGGAUUAUAUUUUGUAAUUAGCUCUUGAAUAUCUUGAUGAUGUGAUUCUUGGUUAAGUGCUAAUCUUGGUGACUUGAAAGUAUGAGAUUUCUGAGACAAUAUGUUAAAGGGCAAUAGAGAUCUUUGUGAUGUCAACAUCAUGGUCUUUGUCUUUGAAUUUACUCUUUUAUGUGUGACGUUUUUUUUUUCUUUGUGUUUUGCUUUGUGUUUUACGUUUUUGGUUUCUUUGAGUCUUUGUGUUUUUGUUUCCAUACUUAGUCAUUUUUUUCGUUGGUUUCUUUGUUUUGUGUCAUAGUCUUUUUGGUUUGUUAGUUUUUGAUUUUGCUAAGGGACUAGCAAAAGCUAAGUGUGGGGGAAUUUGAUAGGAGCAUUUUAAUGUGGUAUUUUAAUAGUUAAUUCCUCACAUUUUGCUUAGUUAAUUCCUUAACGAAUCGAUUUUUAACUCAAUUUCUAUUUUCUUAGGUACAUUGGAGUAAAUGAUGGUGAAAUGAGCAUUAGGUCCACACUUACCUAUAAAUGGUGGAGAAAAAUGGAAAUGUACUAAAAUGUCAAUUUUACUCAUUUUCCUACUCCGGCUAGGAGAAACCAAGCCAAGCAAGGAAGAAGGAGCGGCCGCCUGACCAAAUGAACUCCAAAUGAGCUGAAACUUUCCAGAUCCAUUCUAGACAUCCUAAGGAUCGUUUCUUAUGAAGAGUGCCAGAGCUAGAAUUGAGUGGAAGGCCUUCAAACAAUCAGCCCAAUUUCCCGCAGAAGCAAAACUGGAAAACUGGACCCGUAAGGAGUCCAGCAGCAUUUUCGGCCCAACCACAUGGAAUAAAAAUCUGAAAUUUUACCAGGGUGAUCUACACUCAUAAUGGAACAUUUUUUAUGAAGAGGUCAUAGUGAAAUUGGGAAUGCUUGUUGGAGAAAUAAUUGAAGGAAUAAAGGGGCAGAAACUGAUCUAAAAACAGCUCAACACCACAUGUUCAAGUUUCCUACCCACAUGAAGAAAGCUAGAUGCUUUUCUCUUUUUCCUUGGAUAUAUUUUUCUGCUCCAAUAGAUCAUCAUCACUUCCAUACUUCUACACCUUCAUGCCUUGCUUUCAUUUCAUCAUUACUCCAUCUUUUCCAUAUUUUACAAACCACUUUCAUUAUUUUUCUUCCAUUUAUCAUUUCACUCUUCUUUUUCUUCCCUAUAUAAACACCUUCUCCUCUCACUCUAAAAAUUCCUUCAUCCAUUUCAUCUUCUUUGUCUCUCCAUUUCCAUUCCAUUUUUCUCUCCAUUCUCUAGUUGCAAAAUUCUGCGUUUUCAAGUAAGAAGAAGAAGAAGAAGAAGAAGCCGGGAAUAUCAUAUCCUCCAUCGUCCACCUUGAAGGCUUGCUUCCAAGAUUCAAGAUUUCAACGUUUCAAGCACUCCAUCUCCAUCUCCAACUCACGGUGUGUACCCUCAAUCCCCGGAAUAGAACGAUCCCUAUUUGCUUAUACUACUAACGAUGUUUUCAGGGUUAAAUUAUGCGCUUGCUUUGAGCGUAUCAGGAGCC